rnacentral:rRNA from 1 species
GACGAACGCUGGCGGCGUGCUUAACACAUGCAAGUCGAACGGAAAGGCCCUGCUUUUGUGGGGUGCUCGAGUGGCGAACGGGUAAGUAACACGUGAGUAACCUGCCCUUGACUUUGGGAUAACUUCAGGAAACUGGGGCUAAUACCGGAUAGGAGCUCCUGCUGCAUGGUGGGGGUUGGAAAGUUUCGGCGGUUGGGGAUGGACUGGCGGCUUAUCAGCUUGUUGGUGGGGUAGUGGCUUACCAAGGCUUUGACGGGUAGCCGGCCUGAGAGGGUGACCGGCCACAUUGGGACUGAGAUACGGCCCAGACUCCUACGGGAGGCAGCAGUGGGGAAUAUUGCACAAUGGGCGGAAGCCUGAUGCAGCAACGCCGCGUGCGGGAUGACGGCCUUCGGGUUGUAAACCGCUUUCGCCUGUGACGAAGCGUGAGUGACGGUAAUGGGUAAAGAAGCACCGGCUAACUACGUG